UACGUAGGGUGCAAGCGUUGUCCGGAAUUAUUGGGCGUAAAGAGCUCGUAGGCGGUCUGUCGCGUCGAAUGUGAAAACCCGGGGCUCAACCCCGGGCCUGCAUUCGAUACGGGCAGACUAGAGUUCGGUAGGGGAGUCUGGAAUUCCUGGUGUAGCGGUGAAAUGCGCAGAUAUCAGGAGGAACACCGGUGGCGAAGGCGGGACUCUGGGCCGAUACUGACGCUUAGGAGCGAAAGCGUGGGGAGCAAACAGG
rnacentral:rRNA from 1 species